rnacentral:rRNA from 1 species
CUAAUACAUGCAAGUCGAGCGCGGGAAGCAAGCCGAUCCCUUCGGGGUGAUGCUUGUGGAACGAGCGGCGGACGGGUGAGUAACACGUGGGCAACCUGCCUGUAAGACUGGGAUAACUCCGGGAAACCGGGGCUAAUACCGGAUAGAGUUUUCUUUCGCAUGAGAGGAAACGGAAAGGCGGCUUCGGCUGUCACUUACAGAUGGGCCCGCGGCGCAUUAGCUAGUUGGUGGGGUAACGGCUCACCAAGGCGACGAUGCGUAGCCGACCUGAGAGGGUGAUCGGCCACACUGGGACUGAGACACGGCCCAGACUCCUACGGGAGGCAGCAGUAGGGAAUCUUCCGCAAUGGACGCAAGUCUGACGGAGCAACGCCGCGUGAGUGAUGAAUGUCUUCGGAUUGUAAAACUCUGUUGUUAGGGAAGAACAAGUACCGUUCGAAUAGGUCGGUACCUUGACGGUACCUAACCAGAAAGCCCCGGCUAACUACGUGCCAGCAGCCGCGGUAAUACGUAGGGGGCAAGCGUUGUCCGGAAUUAUUGGGCGUAAAGGGCGCGCAGGCGGUCUUCUAAGUCUGAUGUGAAAGCCCACGGCUUAACCGUGGAAGGUCAUUGGAAACUGGGGGACUUGAGUGCAGAAGAGGAGAGUGGAAUUCCAUGUGUAGCGGUGAAAUGCGUAGAGAUAUGGAGGAACACCAGUGGCGAAGGCGA